UACGAAGGGGGCGAGCGUUGUUCGGAAUCACUGGGCGUAAAGGGCGUGUAGGCGGUCCGCUAAGUCUGAUGUGAAAGCCCGGGGCUCACCCCCGGAAGUGCAUUGGAAACUGGCGGACUCGAGUCCCGGAGAGGAGAGUGGAAUUCCUGGUGUAGCGGUGAAAUGCGUAGAUAUCAGGAGGAACACCGGUGGCGAAGGCGGCUCUCUGGACGGUGACUGACGCUGAGACGCGAAAGCGUGGGGAGCAAACAGG
rnacentral:rRNA from 1 species